rnacentral:rRNA from 1 species
UACGAACCGUGCGAACGUUGUUCGGAAUCACUGGGCUUAAAGGGCGCGUAGGCGGUCGAUCAAGUCCGGGGUGAAAUCUUUCGGCUCAACCGGAAAAGUGCCUCGGAUACUGAUUGGCUGGAGGGAGGUAGGGGCAGCUGGAACUUCCAGUGGAGCGGUGAAAUGCGUUGAUAUUGGAAGGAACGCCGGUGGCGAAAGCGGGCUGCUGGACCUCUUCUGACGCUGAGGCGCGAAAGCUAGGGGAGCAAACGGG